GAGCUUAAAUGUUUAUUUAAAACAGAAAUGCCAAACCACUCCACUCUCAACCUUUCAAGCAACCUGGCUAACAAUAAACUAGUUCUUCUGCAACAAUGUUAGAGCAGAGGAGUAACUCAGGUUAUACUGUAACUCAAAAGCAAUACUACUAGAAAACUUAAAACACCUAGCACUGCAUAAAGAAAAAAAGCAGGACAAAAUUUAAAGAGAAUUAGCUACAGAAAACCAUUCAAAGGCAUUUCUACUGCCUCAUCUUUUACUCCAUCCCCCUUUGAACUGGUUUCUAAAAAAAUCAUAUGGCUGUCCCAGGCACAAUAUGGGAAAGUGCAAACUGUCUCUAAGGCACAGAACUUAGAUUCUCAGCCAGAUUAAUAGCAAAUCUAGACUUCCCAAGGGAAUAUGCUAGAGAAAAUGACCACAGCGUUCCACUGCUAGGGAAAGGCUCCCCUAUGAACAAGACCAGGGCACUCACCCACCCCCGGCACUCACUUUCACCCCACCUUCUCAGCAACCUGCCCAUGUCCAUCAGCUCCAUGGCAGAAGCAAUCCUCAUGAUGAACACCCAAACUGACCCAGCCUCUCAGGCCUGCUGAGAUGAUGAGCAUGAGGAUACAGGGACAUGACAGGUCAAUCGGUCCUCAAGAAAAUCAAAGUUGCAUUUACAUGCUGAACCAAAACCCACUGUUACAGUUUAUGACAACCCCCGCAAGUCCCCAGAACUUGCAACUUUAAUCAAAGUUUGGCUGCUUCCCUUAUUUCAAGAAAAGGUUUCAGUGAUUACAUUAGUACUAAUGUACUAGGCUUCCCAGAACUGAGAAAACAAUGGGAACAUCAAACCAAAGAAGAUCCCAUUGAACAGAGUUGCCUGUCCCGAGCAAUGGGGUUCUCCCCAAGCAUCAGCCUUUAUGCCACCAGUUUUGGAGAAAUGGCAAAAUUUCCAUUGCACAAGACCUCCCACAAUGUUGAUAAGAUUAUCAAACAUUUUGGUCUGGGGAAGAUGAAACAAAAUUAAUUUAGCUGUUUAUAGGAAGGUGGGAUGUGAGACUCAUCAAAGGUAGGAUGUGUGACACAAAAUACCACAGGAACAUUUUACAAGGCUAGGUGGAAAUACAAAGCUCACAUCCUUAAGGAAACCAUC
rnacentral:lncRNA from 1 species